AUCCCCGUGUGGGGGAGGGGGGCCUUCGGUCUCUCCCCAGCCUCUUCCUUCCCCCUGGCCUGAGGGUGGGUGGGGAGGGGCAGUUCCUCUUUCCUUCCCAAGCACCGAGGAGGCCCCAGCUCCCUAGGGGCUGAGAAGCUGGAGUCCUGGGGAAGGGGAGGAGCUGAGCCCUACUCUUGCGAGACCCCCGCCCUCCUCCCCCCACGCGGGAAGCAUGAACAGAAAAGACAGUAAGAGGAAGUCCCACCAGGAAUGCACCGGAAAAACAGGAGGGCGAGGCCGGCCCCGCCAAGUGCGCCGCCACAAGACAUGCCCCAGCCCCCGGGAAAUCAGCAAGGUCAUGGCUUCCAUGAACCUGGGCCUGCUGAGUGAGGGCGGCUGCAGCGAAGAUGAGCUGCUGGAGAAAUGCAUCCAGUCCUUCGAUUCAGCUGGCAGCCUGUGCCACGGGGACCACAUGCUCAACAUGGUGCUGGCCAUGCACAGCUGGGUGCUGCCGUCCGCCGACCUGGCUGCCCGCCUGCUGACCUCAUACCAGAAGGCCACAGGGGACACCCAGGAGCUGAGACGGCUGCAGAUCUGUCACCUGGUCAGGUACUGGCUGAUGCGACACCCUGAGGUGAUGCACCAGGAUCCCCAGCUAGAAGAAGUCAUAGGUCGUUUCUGGGCCACCGUGGCCCGGGAGGGCAACUCAGCCCAGAGAAGACUGGGAGACUCUUCUGACCUCCUGAGCCCUGGUGGCCCUGGCCCCCCACUCCCAAUAAGCAGCCCAGGCCUGGGCAAAAAGCGCAAAGUGUCCUUGCUUUUCGACCACCUGGAGACGGGGGAGCUGGCUCAGCACCUCACCUACCUGGAGUUCCGGUCCUUCCAGGCUAUCACGCCCCAGGACCUGCGGAGCUACGUUUUGCAGGGCUCAGUACGAGGCUGCCCGGCCCUGGAGGGCUCCGUAGGUCUCAGCAACAGCGUGUCCCGCUGGGUGCAGGUGAUGGUGCUGAGCCGUCCCGGGCCCCUACAGCGCGCACAGGUGCUGGACAAGUUCAUUCACGUGGCACAGAGGCUCCACCAGCUGCAGAAUUUCAACACGCUGAUGGCAGUCACAGGGGGCCUGUGUCACAGUGCCAUCUCCAGACUCAAGGACUCCCAUGCCCACCUGAGCCCUGACAGCACCAAGGCCCUCCUGGAACUCACUGAGCUCCUUGCCUCCCACAACAACUACGCCCGCUACCGCCGCACCUGGGCUGGCUGCGCGGGCUUCCGGCUGCCUGUACUGGGCGUGCACCUCAAGGACCUGGUGUCCCUGCAUGAGGCACAGCCCGACAGGUUGCCUGACGGCCGCCUGCACCUACCCAAGCUGAACAACCUCUACCUGCGGCUGCAGGAGCUGGUGGCCCUCCAAGGGCAGCAUCCACCCUGCAGCGCCAAUGAGGAUCUGCUGCACCUCCUCACGCUCUCCCUGGACCUCUUCUACACGGAAGACGAGAUCUAUGAGCUUUCUUAUGCCCGGGAGCCGCGUUGUCCCAAGAGUCUGCCACCCUCCCCCUUCAAUGCACCUCUGGUGGUGGAGUGGGCCCCUGGUGUGACACCCAAGCCGGACAGGGUCACACUGGGUCGGCAUGUGGAGCAGCUGGUGGAGUCUGUGUUCAAGAAUUAUGACCCUGAAGGCCGAGGAACAAUCUCUCAGGAGGACUUUGAGCGACUCUCGGGCAAUUUUCCCUUUGCUUGCCAUGGGCUUCACCCACCCCCACGCCAGGGGAGAGGAUCCUUCAGCAGAGAGGAGCUGACAGGGUACCUGCUCCGGGCCAGCGCCAUCUGCUCCAAGUUGGGCCUGGCCUUCCUGCACACCUUCCAUGAGGUUACCUUCCGAAAGCCUACCUUCUGCGACAGCUGCAGUGGCUUCCUCUGGGGUGUCACCAAGCAAGGCUACCGCUGUCGGGGUGAGUGGGGUGUCAGUGAGUGGGAGGGAAGCCUUGGCCCGCAGGCUGGAAGAAUGGAUGACACAGAUCGGACCCCUGGCCAUUAACCGCUGCCUUCCCCCAGAGUGCGGGCUGUGUUGCCACAAACACUGCAGAGACCAGGUGAAGGUAGAAUGUAAGAAGAGGCCAGGGGCCAAGGGCGAUGCAGGACCCCCCGGAGCUCCUGUCCCAUCCACACCAGCUCCCCAUGCCAGCUGUGGCUCCGAGGAAAAUCACUCCUACACGCUAUCCCUGGAACCUGAGACUGGGUACCAGCUUCGCCAUGCCUGGACCCAGACUGAAUCCCCACACCCUUCCUGGGAAACAGAUACGGUCCCCUGCCCGGUGAUGGACCCACCAUCAACUGCAUCCUCCAAGCUGGAUUCCUAGACAUCUCUUGGUCUCCUCUCUUCCUCACUCCCUUCCCCCAGUCAGUCCUGAGUCCUGUCGUCAGACUCUGGCAGGGCUCCCAGAGGUAGGCCUCCAGAGGCAUCCGCCUUCCCAUCCACACUGCCUUUAGUGGUACGUCCAUCAUCUUUUUCCCUGGAAGUGACUUUCCUCUUUUGCAUCCUGGUGGAUGCUAAUCCUGCUCCCUUUCCCUGCACUUAGUAUCUGUGCGGCUGUGUGUUGGAUACAUUUAGACUCAGGCCUCAUUCUACCACCUCCCUACAUCUCCAUUUCUUUUUUUUUUUUGAGACAGAGUCUUGCUCUGUCACCCAGGCUGGAGUGCAAUGAUGCAAUCUCAGCUCACUGCAACUUCCGCCUCCUGGGUUCAAGUGAUUCUUCUGCCUCAGCCUCCCAAGUAGCUGGGAUUACAGGCACGCGCCACCAUGCCCGGCUAAUUUUUGUAUUUUUAGUAGAGACGGGGUUUCCCCAUGUUGGCCAAGAUGGUCUCAAACUCCUGACCUCAUGAUCCACCAGCCUCAGCCUCCCAAAGGGCUGGGAUUACAGGCGUGAGCCAACGCGCCCAGCUCCUGCUUUUCUGCAUAGAACGUUCUCCCUCUGACAGCCUAUACUUUUUCCCUCUUUAUCUCGUUGAACGUCUGUCUUUCCUCAACAGGAGCAUCAACUCCAGGAGAACAGGGAUUUCUAUCAAUGUCAUUCACUGCUGCAUCCCCAGUGCCUAGAACAGGGCUGGCAGGUGGUAGGCGCCUGACAGAUGCUUGUCUGAUGCCUGAAUGUCUCCUUACCCAUGCCCACGGCGCAGGAUAGAUGUGCUAUAGGGCAAAGAACUUUGAGGGUCGAGCAGCAGGGGCCCAUUCAGUCCCAGGGAGCAGAGACCCCCCCCCCACCCCUUCACAAACCCCAACACCCCUGACUUGGCCCCCACAGAGAGAGGUCCUACAGCUGUCAUAAAUUAAAUUUAUUCUCUGGA
rnacentral:sRNA from 1 species